UUACCGAGUUUACAACUCCCAAACCCCUGUGAACAUACCAAUUGUUGCCUCGGCGGAUCAGCCCGCUCCCGGUAAAACGGGACGGCCCGCCAGAGGACCCCUAAACUCUGUUUCUAUAUGUAACUUCUGAGUAAAACCAUAAAUAAAUCAAAACUUUCAACAACGGAUCUCUUGGUUCUGGCAUCGAUGAAGAACGCAGCAAAAUGCGAUAAGUAAUGUGAAUUGCAGAAUUCAGUGAAUCAUCGAAUCUUUGAACGCACAUUGCGCCCGCCAGUAUUCUGGCGGGCAUGCCUGUUCGAGCGUCAUUUCAACCCUCAAGCCCCCGGGUUUGGUGUUGGGGAUCGGCGAGCCCUUGCGGCAAGCCGGCCCCGAAAUCUAGUGGCGGUCUCGCUGCAGCUUCCAUUGCGUAGUAGUAAAACCCUCGCAACUGGUACGCGGCGCGGCCAAGCCGUUAAACCCCCAACUUCUGAAUGUUGACCUCGGAUC
rnacentral:rRNA from 1 species